UACGAAGGGGGCUAGCGUUGUUCGGAAUUACUGGGCGUAAAGCGCGCGUAGGCGGGCGUUUAAGUCAGUGGUGAAAUGCCGGGGCUCAACCUCGGAACGGCCUUUGAUACUGGACGUCUGGAGUUCGGGAGAGGUGAGUGGAAUUCCGAGUGUAGAGGUGAAAUUCGUAGAUAUUCGGAGGAACACCAGAAGCGAAGGCGGCUCACUGGCCCGAGACUGACGCUGAGGCGCGAAA
rnacentral:rRNA from 1 species